UCUGACUUCCUUCCAUGAACAGUGCAGGAGAAGUGCAAGCCAGGUCACAGUCGACGAUCCUGCUGUGUCAUCCGUGGAGGGCUGAGUCAGCCCUGCCUCAAACCUGAACCCAGUGGACCGGGAUCUGUACGAGGCUCUCUAGCUCCACCGUCUGGCAGGGGAGCGCAAUGAGCUUUGCGACCGUGAAACCGAGACACUGUUAAGGAUAAAAACAGGACUAAACCUCACCGAGUAGUUCAUGUGUCCCUUUCCCUUUAACUCUCUAUCCUCCAGCUAGAUCCGUUUACCGGAGAUCUGGGUUUCUGCUGAUUGCUUUACAGAGCCCUCUGCCCCCGUGCUCCCCCAGGACUUCAGGCACGCCCUUGGCCAGAACCCAGGCGCCGCCUAGGCUCUCUCUUCACUUCCUGCCUCCUAACUCUCAAGAGGGGCGGAGCUGCUUUCUAGAAGGCAAUUUGAACCUGGGCUUUUUUUUUUUUUUUUUUUUUUUUUUUUUUUUUGGUCAUCACAAUAAAGGGGAGCCUUACUGGCAUUUAGUGGCGCUGACCCGCCAUGCUGGACAUCUAGUAGGAUAGUUCAUAUUGUCUUAGGAGGUUUUUCAGAUAUCCUGCUGGACAUUUGUGUAGGUGAAUGCCAUGCAUUAACUCUCAG
rnacentral:lncRNA from 1 species